UGAGGACUACCUGUACCGCUUGUUCAGCACCAUUCUAUGGAUUAAGUACAACGCUGGCAUGAUGCGUUUCAGCCAUGCACCGCAGAACAUAGACUUUUGCACCAAAAGGAGCAAGGAUCUGCACCCUGAAAAGACAUUCCACAUUCCAAGGAAAAUUAUGCACAUUGACAUAACAUAAUCACCCCGUAUUUUGCUCUUUGGGAUUACUGUAUGGAGGAGCUCAAGGUUUAUGCAACAGGAGCCCAUCUUGUCAAGAGCCAAUAUGUAAAGAAGACGUAAGGGAGCCAUCGCUAACCAACAUGCCCAGAUGUGCGGGGUUGCCAUCCCAAAACCCUAGCUAACAAGGCCAAAGCACUUGCUGGUUAGCAAUUCUGGAACUUGAAGUCCAACAUAUCUGGAGAGUGCCAGAUAUGGGAGACGGCCAAUUCCCCAAAUUUCCAGGCUGAAUAAAUCUGAACAGCGACAGACUGGGGAGAACUGACUGCAACUUGAACAUAAUCCAUGGAUGUCUCACCUGAGAGCUAAGUCUGUUAAAGUCUCAUUGGUCCCAUUGGGAAAAUUAACAGCGUGUCUUCUCCAGGGAAAUCCAUAUAAACUAAA